rnacentral:rRNA from 1 species
GUAAUCAUAUGCUUGUCUCAAAGAUUAAGCCAUGCAUGUCUAAGUACAUGCCGAAAUAAGGCGAAACCGCGAAUGGCUCAUUAAAUCAGUUAUGGUUCCUUAGAUCGUUUCUUCCUACUUGGAUAACUGUGGCAAUUCUAGAGCUAAUACAUGCAGUGAGCCUGGAGCCCUUUGGGUAACGGGUGCUUUUAUUAGACCAAGAUCGAUCGGGUUUCGGCCCGUAUUGUGUGGUGACUCUGGAUAACUUUGUGCUGAUCGCAUGGCCACGAGCCGGCGACGUUUCUUUCAAGUGUCUGCCUUAUCAACUUUCGAUGGUAGGUUACUUGCUUACCAUGGUUGUUACGGGUAACGGAGAAUCAGGGUUCGAUUCCGGAGAGGGAGCCUGAGAAACGGCUACCACAUCCAAGGAAGGCAGCAGGCGCGCAAAUUACCCACUCCCGGCACGGGGAGGUAGUGACGAAAAAUAACAAUACGGGACUCUUUUGAGGCCCCGUAAUUGAAAUGAGUACACUCUAAAUCCUUUAACGAGGAUCAAUUGGAGGGCAAGUCUGGUGCCAGCAGCCGCGGUAAUUCCAGCUCCAAUAGCGUAUACUAAAGCUGCUGCGGUUAAAAAGCUCGUAGUUGGAUCUCAGUUCCAGACGAGUAGUGCAUCUACCCGAUGCGACGGCUCGGACUGAACAUCAUGCCGGUUCUUUCUUGGUGCACUUCAUUGUGUGCCUCGAGAUAGCCGGUGCUUUUACUUUGAAAAAAUUAGAGUGCUCAACGCAGGCGAGUCGCCUGAAUAAACUUGCAUGGAAUAAUAGAACAAGACCUCGUUUCUGUUCUGUUGGUUUUUGGAAUACGAGGUAAUGAUUAAGAGGGACGGACGGGGGCAUUCGUAUUGCGGCGCUAGAGGUGAAAUUCUUGGACCGUCGCAAGACGAACUACUGCGAAAGCAUUUGCCAAGAAUGUUUUCAUUGAUCAAGAACGAAAGUCAGAGGUUCGAAGGCGAUCAGAUACCGCCCUAGUUCUGACCAUAAACGAUGCCAACCAGCGAUCCGCCUGAGUUACUCAAAUGACUCGGCGGGCAGCUUCCGGGAAACCAAAGUAUUUGGGUUCCGGGGGAAGUAUGGUUGCAAAGCUGAAACUUAAAGGAAUUGACGGAAGGGCACCACCAGGAGUGGAGCCUGCGGCUUAAUUUGACUCAACACGGGAAAACUUACCCGGCCCGGACACUGGGAGGAUUGACAGAUUGAGAGCUCUUUCUUGAUUCGGUGGAUGGUGGUGCAUGGCCGUUCUUAGUUGGUGGAGCGAUUUGUCUGGUUAAUUCCGAUAACGAACGAGACUCUAGCCUAUUAAAUAGGUGCGGGGUUCCCAGCACCUUACAACCUUCUUAGAGGGACAAGCGGCUCCUAGCCGCACGAAACAGAGCAAUAACAGGUCUGUGAUGCCCUUAGAUGUCCGGGGCCGCACGCGCGCUACACUGAAGGAAGCAGCGUGUCUUUAUCCCUGUCUGAAAAGACUGGGUAACCCGUGGAACUUCUUUCGUGAUUGGGAUAGGGGCUUGCAAUUGUUCCCCUUGAACGAGGAAUUCCCAGUAAGCGCGAGUCAUAAGCUCGCGUUGAUUACGUCCCUGCCCUUUGUACACACCGCCCGUCGCUACUACCGAUUGAAUGAUUUAGUGAGGUCUUCGGACCGAUGUCCGGCGCGGCCUUUCGGUUGCGCCGGUCUGUUGGAAAGAUGACCAAACUUGAUCAUUUAGAGGAAGUAAAAGUCGUAACAAGGUUUCCGUAGGUGAACCUGCGGAAGGAUCAUUA